UAUAUUAUAGUAUAAGAUGUACAUAGAUUUUUGAUAUUUAAGGAAAUAGUUUAAUUCUAUUUGAUAUAG
rnacentral:tRNA from 1 species